rnacentral:misc_RNA from 1 species
UCCAAGGACGAGCGAGUGCUGAACUGGAUAGAAUCGUACAGGGAACUUUUGGAUCGAUGGAGACUCUGGCAUCACAGAUCUAAGUUUGACAUCAUCUGGCGGGCCGGUGACAACUUCCGCGUCAUCUCCCAGGCGUUUGUCAGCUGUAACUUCUGCGGAAAAUCCAUCGCCUGUAACAUGCCCGUCGCUAGUCGUGCUCGACCGCACAACUCUUACUCAGCCGGAACAUUGACGUCCACAAAACCAAAGAUAUCGUGCUGUCCUGGAUGUAGGAAGCCCCUCCCCCGAUGUUCCCUGUGUCUGACCCACCUAGGGACACCCUCAGGGUCUGCUCUGUACACACAGAAGGACAAAACAACAUAUUCAGCAAAGAUGACGGCCAUUGACGAUUGGUUCACCUGGUGUCAAUCAUGUAGACACGGAGGCCACGCCUCUCACCUGUUAGAGUGGUUUGCUGAGCACUCUGAAUGCCCCGUCACUGGGUGUAACUGUAAAUGUUCUACCCUGGAUCACACUGCCAGGUUAGCGGCCGAGAGCUGACCAGAAUUUCAGUCUGUAUUGUGCAAAACUUUACUACUGUGAAAACUUGGAACUAAUUACACAUGACACUUCCUAUUGUGUGGGAGCUUGCAAAAGACAAAACGCGUCGGAAUAUGUCAGAAUACUUGAACAAAAUUGCAAAGGUUUUACGUUAACCGUGCUGCCAAAACAGUGAACGCCUAAAGAACAUGCAUGGGAAUUAACAUAAUUCAGAACAUAAAGUAACUAUCGAGGGGAAGUUUGCAAUGAUUCCAUAGUAUUUGUUCUACAAAUGACUCAAGACAGUGUCGUAUUUUUAUAUUUAAAAGUUAUGUGAUUAAAACAUUGGUAUAUUGAUCAUUAAUGUAAUUAAAAAAGUGAUUUCACAAU